UACGAAGGGGGCUAGCGUUGUUCGGAAUCACUGGGCGUAAAGGGCGCGUAGGCGGCUUUGUAAGUCGGGGGUGAAAGCCUGUGGCUCAACCACAGAAUUGCCUUCGAUACUGCAUGGCUUGAGACCGGAAGAGGUAAGUGGAAUUGCGAGUGUAGAGGUGAAAUUCGUAGAUAUUCGCAAGAACACCAGUGGCGAAGGCGGCUUACUGGUCCGGUUCUGACGCUGAGGCGCGAAAGCGUGGGGAGCAAACAGG
rnacentral:rRNA from 1 species